rnacentral:rRNA from 1 species
AACGAACGCUGGCGGCAGGCUUAACACGUGCAAGUCGAACGGGUGUAGCAAUACAUCAGUGGCAGACGGGUGAGUAACACGUGGGAACCUUCCUAGGGGUACGGAACAACUCAGGGAAACUUGAGCUAAUACCGUAUACGUCCGUGAGGAGAAAGAUUUAUCGCCCUUAGACGGGCCCGCGUCGGAUUAGCUAGUUGGUGGGGUAACGGCCUACCAAGGCGACGAUCCGUAGCUGAUCUUAGAGGAUGAUCAGCCACACUGGGACUGAGACACGGCCCAGACUCCUACGGGAGGCAGCAGUGGGGAAUCUUGGACAAUGGGCGCAAGCCUGAUCCAGCCAUGCCGCGUGAGUGAAGAAGGUCUUCGGAUUGUAAAGCUCUUUCGCCAGGGACGAUAAUGACGGUACCUGGAGAAUAAGCCCCGGCAAACUUCGUGCCAGCCGCCGCCGUAA